CCUACGUGAGGCAGCAGUGAGGAAUAUUGGUCAAUGGGCUUACGCCUGAACCAGCCAAGUCGCGUGAGGGAAGACUGCCCUAUGGGUUGUAAACCUCUUUUGUCAGGGAGCAACGCCGGCUACGUGUAGCCGGACUGAGAGUACCUGAAGAAAAAGCAUCGGCUAACUCCGUGCCAGCAGCCGCGGUAAUACGGAGGAUGCGAGCGUUAUCCGGAUUUAGUGGGUUUAAAGGGUGCGUAGGCGGAAUGCCAAGUCAGCGGUAAAAUCGCGGGGCUCAACCUCGCUCCGCCGUUGAAAAUGGCGUUCUUGAGUGGGCGAGAAGUAUGCGGAAUGCGUGGUGUAGCGGUGACAUGCAUAGAUAUCACGCAGAACUCCGAUUGCGAAGGCAGCUCACUGGACUGCAACUGACACUGAGGCUCGAAAGUGUGGGUAUCAAACAGGAUUAGAUACCCCGGUAGUC
rnacentral:rRNA from 1 species